CCCCCCCCCCCCAAACAAUUGUGUUAAAAAUGCAAACACGAUUACGGUACUGUAAUCCGUUUUUCUACCUUCUCAGAAUGUCUGCCUUUUUGUGCUAACUCAGAGCAAAUCGAAACAAGAUUGUUAAACGGACGGCUAAAUUCGUUCCACGUUAGUGCGAUUUAUGGCACAAACUGCAAUUAUCCCCGGUGUUGACUUGCCUUUUUGUUAAAUUCCUCAACGCUCAUUAUUACCGCUCGGAUUCAGGGGCUGCGUUGCUCGUUAGAACCAACAUGACUGAACCCACAGUUGCCAGUUUAUCCGCUUCCCCCGGACCCACCUUCACACGAAGGGAAUAAAUAGACUGCGCUCAGAAUGCCGCGGGAUGACGGGCGAACGAGGGGAUAUUUUGGAAUUUCGUGUGAAUUUGAUCCUGAGAGGAACAGACCGGCCUGAAGACAGUGAGGGUUUUAAAUUCGUUGUUCUCUCUGUGAAAGAGAUGGAUGUACAAAUAAACGGAUGGAUCAGAGUCACAUCUAAUAGCAAUUGAUGCGAACGUUAAUAGACAGAAGUGAGUGAAUGAGGGGGCAAUGGAAUUUAAUAAAACGGCAUGUGCCCCCUUUACCGUCCCCUCUCUGUCCCUAUUCGUUUUCUCGCUCCUGUCUUGUCAGAUUCGGAGUCUUUUUGUUCUGCGUUUCCCCCCUCACUUUCUUUUCUCUCGUGUUCCCACCCUCACCGAUUAAUCGGGCUUCUGUGUCCAUUUUUGAACCAGGCUCCUUGACAGCCCGUUCCCACUCCCCAGUCUUCCCGCUAACCCAUUCUCCGCUGCUGACACUCGGCUGGGCAGCUCAACAGAGCAGUGCCUGGGGUCAAACGCCCAAGUCCCUGGGCCCAUGUUGAAAUGCUGCCGACUGGGAGAAAACACUUUUUCCCCCGGAUCCAUCCUGAGCUCGGCCCUGUCCCAUUCCCGGACGCGAGAGCAGACCCAAAUGAGAUUCUUGAAUGAGACAAAAUCAGAAUCUCCCUCCAACUGGCACAAACGGCGCGUUUAAGCCUGAUGAUCUGUUUAGAACACGAUCCUUAUUAAAUUACAUUUAAUGCAAUCUCCCCACGAAUAAUUAAAACGCUUCCUGACAUCUCCUUGCUGCAUGGAGAUUCCCGUUUAGUCGCUGAACCAAUUUAAAAGGCGCCACACGUUAAUUGAAGGCAGAAUGGAACCGACACGCCGAGUCCGUGGAUUGCACAUUUAGCAGGGGAUUGGAAACUCCCCCCCACCCCCCGUCAUUAUAAAAGCGAGGAUUGCACUAGUGUCCAGUACAGCGACCCAUUUCACACAGACCCCACGGACAGUCGACUCUCUGGCCGAAUAGGAGACCGAACGAACGCAGAAAGACAAUUGCCAGGAUGGCCAGACUGAGGAUGAGGACAUCUUAAAGAUUACGCGUCUCUCGAACAGCAACACCAAUUACCUCCCCCCC